CAUAUACAUAUAUAGACAUACACAUAUAGAAACAGACAUAGAGACACAUAUAUACAAAGACACACAUACAGACACAGAAACACAUACUGAUACACAGGGUCACAUAGAGACACAUGCAGAUACAGAAACAUACACACACAAACAGAAAAAUACAACUCUGUUCCGCAGAGUAGCUGUUGACAUUAUAGUUGCGCGGGCACUUUGUUGACUCUAGAGAACCUCGGACCAAUCGCACAUCCCCGUGACGGCGACUUUGCAUUCAGAUGUCAUCCAUAUCAACUUUCGAUGCCAGUUUCUGCAUCUACCAUGGUGACCAUGGGUAAUGGGGAAUCAGGGUUCCAUUCCGUACAGGGACCCUGAUAAACAGCUACCACAUGCAAGGAAAGCAGCAGGUGCGCAAAUGACCCACUCCCGACGGGCGAAGGUAGUGAUGACAAAUAACAAUACAGGACUCUUUAGAGGCCCUGUAAUUGUAAUGAGUUCACUUGAAAUCCUUUAACUCUGAUCAAUUGGAGGGAAGUCUGGUGUAGAGCCACUGACCCAUGCGUGCUGCAGCUGAAACUCCACU